CAUGCAGUCGUAACAAGGUAACCAGAGCUUGCUCUCGGGUGACGAGCGGCGGACGGGUGAGUAAUGUCUGGGAAACUGCCUGAUGGAGGGGGAUAACUACUGGAAACGGUAGCUAAUACCGCAUAAUGUCGCAAGACCAAAGUGGGGGACCUUCGGGCCUCAUGCCAUCAGAUGUGCCCAGAUGGGAUUAGCUAGUAGGUGGGGUAACGGCUCACCUAGGCGACGAUCCCUAGCUGGUCUGAGAGGAUGACCAGCCACACUGGAACUGAGACACGGUCCAGACUCCUACGGGAGGCAGCAGUGGGGAAUAUUGCACAAUGGGCGCAAGCCUGAUGCAGCCAUGCCGCGUGUGUGAAGAAGGCCUUCGGGUUGUAAAGCACUUUCAGCGGGGAGGAAGGCGAUAAGGUUAAUAACCUUGUCGAUUGACGUUACCCGCAGAAGAAGCACCGGCUAACUCCGUGCCAGCAGCCGCGGUAAUACGGAGGGUGCAAGCGUUAAUCGGAAUUACUGGGCGUAAAGCGCACGCAGGCGGUCUGUCAAGUCGGAUGUGAAAUCCCCGGGCUCAACCUGGGAACUGCAUUCGAAACUGGCAGGCUAGAGUCUUGUAGAGGGGGGUAGAAUUCCAGGUGUAGCGGUGAAAUGCGUAGAGAUCUGGAGGAAUACCGGUGGCGAAAGCGGCCCCCUGGACAAGACUGACGCUCAGGUGCGAAAGCGU
rnacentral:rRNA from 1 species